AUUGAACGCUGGCGGAAUGCUUUACACAUGCAAGUCGAACGGUAGAGGGGGCAACCCCUUGAGAGUGGCGAACGGGUGAGUAAUAUAUCGGAACGUGCCCAGUCGUGGGGGAUAACGUAGCGAAAGUUACGCUAAUACCGCAUACGAUCUACGGAUGAAAGCGGGGGACUCGCAAGAGCCUCGCGCGAUUGGAGCGGCCGAUAUCAGAUUAGGUAGUUGGUGGGGUAAAGGCUCACCAAGCCAACGAUCUGUAGCUGGUCUGAGAGGACGACCAGCCACACUGGAACUGAGACACGGUCCAGACUCCUACGGGAGGCAGCAGUGGGGAAUUUUGGACAAUGGACGCAAGUCUGAUCCAGCCAUUCCGCGUGCAGGAUGAAGGCCCUCGGGUUGUAAACUGCUUUUGUACGGAACGAAAAGGUCUCUCUUAAUACGGGGGGCUCAUGACGGUACCGUAAGAAUAAGCACCGGCUAACUACGUG
rnacentral:rRNA from 1 species